rnacentral:lncRNA from 1 species
UGGCCACGGUGCCGUCCAGGCAGGAUUUGGAAGGGUCCUGGGCUUUGGAGUCCAGGAACCAGCUGUGGCCCCCCGGGUCUCAGCCUCCCCAGCUGUAAUGCAAAGUAUGCACCCCCAGUGAGGACUCCUCACCUGCUCUUGCCCCUCCCCAGCCAUCCCACCACCACCCAGCAGGGCCUAGGCUGCGGGGCUUGCACUGUGAGAAGCCCAGGCAAGGAGGUGACGCAGAGGCCCUGGCCCAGCCCACACAGCCAGGCCACAGAGCUGGAGCCCAGGGCGACCUAGUCUCUGUCCCCAGAAGGCAGACCAGGACUCCAGCCCCAGGAGCCCCACACAGGCCUUGACUCCCUCUCCUGGACCACGCCAGGGUCCCCCUAGAUGGCGGGCAGGGGGUUGUGGGCAGGGCCUCCGGGAGAUGGGACCAGCAGAAAUGGAGCCACCUGGGGGAGGAUCUGCAGCAAGAGGAGGAAGAUGAAGAACAAGAGGAAGAGGAAGAAGAGAAAGAAGGCUGGAGAGCAGCACCCCAGGCCACGCCACCCACUGCGUCCAGCCCAGCUCUUCCACGCCAGGCCACGACAACCCCUGCGUCUACCCCAGCGCCCAUGCCAGCCCCUGCUUCCAGCUCUGUCUGGGGUGGGUUGGAAGUGUGACCCUCAGAGGUAGGGAUUGGGGCUCAGGCUGGGACCAGAGAGUGACAGAAAACAGACCGUGCUCCCUGCACCUGCCACCCCGUGUCCUCCCACACGGCCUGGUCCAUGUCGAACACGGUAACAGCUGGCCUCAGCAGAGGAGGGACAGCAGCAGCCCUGGUGGAGACGGGAUGCUGGUGACCCUGCGGGGCUGGUGGUGCCAGCAGUGCCUUCCCUGCUCCCGGAGGAGUUGCCCUGGGCCCCCAGCACAGCGGCUACUGGGGUCACAAACGUACCCCAACCCCGAAAGCUCCUUGGAAGGCUAAAGGGCCAGAGCCCUCUCCACGACAAACCCUGGGAAGACAGCCAGGGUUGGCUCUGUUCUGAGCGAGGAAGUCUUGCCAGGUGGGGUGCUUGGGAGGCUGGACCCAGAGCAGGGGAGACCCAGAGCAAGAGAGGCCCAGGACCAGCUCCGGGCAGCCCCGCUGAGGCCCCAAGCCCCCUGCCGCACAACCCACUUUGCACCCAGGACCUCGUACUGACUAGGGUUGGCUCCCCAAGGGCCCCUCCCCCAGGAGACCCCUCCUCCAGGCCCCCCACCAGGAGACCCCUCCUCCAGACUUCCUCCCCCAGGUGCCUCCUCCCCCAAGGCUCCCCGCCAGGUGCUCCUCCCUCAGGUGUUCCGCUCCCAGGUGUCCCCCUGACCCCCUCUAAUAGAGGGACGAAACCCUGGUCCCAGAACAGGGCUUUCCCAGCAGGAAUUCUUCCCUCAGUUUAGCCUUCCUGGGGAGCCCAUGGGUGGAAGGGCGGGGAUUCAGGACCUGGUCCAGCCCAGCCUGACCAGUGGGUACUGGCAGCUGGGGAACCCACCUCCCUGGGCCUCCGCUCCUCACCGGAUGAAAGCCCCACCCAUGCAUCUCAGGGUCUCAGGAUUGAAGGGCAAGGGCUGGGGCUGGGCUUGGGGAGGAGCUGCAGGCUGUGGCGUCAGUCCUGGCCUCAGGCUCAAAGGCGGGUCCCGUUGCUGUCACCUGCAGUGGCUGAGCUCUAGUUGCAGGCUGGGCAGCUGGGAGUGAAUGUGCCCAGGGCUGCACGCAUAUUUUGUCCCAGGGGUGAGGCCUGCUCCUUCCAUUGGACAC